CGCCUGGAGGUAUCAGAAGUGCGAAUGCUGGCAUGAGUAACGACAAACACUGUGAAAGACAGUGUCGCCGAAAGUCCAAGGGUUCCUGCGUAAAGUUAAUCUUCGCAGGGUUAGCCGACCCCUAAGGCGAGGCCGAAAGGCGUAGUCGAUGGGAAUGCAGUGAAUAUUCUGCAGCCAGUGGAUGGUGACGAAUCCAGUAUGUUGUCCGACCUUAAUGGAUUGGUCGGGCCUCGAAUGGGUUCCAGGAAAUAGCCUCCACAUCAGAUCGUACCCGAGACCGCCAGAGGUGUACUGGUAGAGUUUUCCAAGGCGCUUGAGAGAACUAUGUUGAAUGAACUCGGCAAUUUACCUCCGUAACUUCGGGAUAAGGCGGCCCAUUGCAUGCGGAAGCAUGCAUUGGGGGCACAGACCAGGGGGUGGCAACUGCUUAACAAAAACACAGGGCUCUGCGAAAUCGCAAGAUGACGUAUACGGUGUGACGCCUGCCCGGUGCCGGAAGGUUAAUUGAUGGGGUUAGCGGCAACGCGAAGCUCUUGAUCGAAGCCCCGGUAAACGGCGGCCGUAACUA
rnacentral:rRNA from 1 species